GGUGCUGUAGUAUAGUGGUCAGUACAGCUCGUUGUGGUUUAUUCCCGAGCAGACCUGGGUUCGAUUCCCAGCAGCGCCA
rnacentral:tRNA from 1 species